GAUGAACGCUGGCGGCGUGCUUAACACAUGCAAGUCGAACGGUGAAGCAGGAGCUUGCUCCUGUGGAUCAGUGGCGAACGGGUGAGUAACACGUGAGCAAUCUGCCCUGGACUCUGGGAUAAGCGUUGGAAACGACGUCUAAUACCGGAUACGAGGCGUGGGGGCAUCCCCAACGCCUGGAAAGAACUUCGGUCCAGGAUGAGCUCGCGGCCUAUCAGGUAGUUGGUGAGGUAACGGCUCACCAAGCCUACGACGGGUAGCCGGCCUGAGAGGGUGACCGGCCACACUGGGACUGAGACACGGCCCAGACUCCUACGGGAGGCAGCAGUGGGGAAUUUUGCGCAAUGGGGGAAACCCUGACGCAGCAACGCCGCGUGAAGGAUGAAGGUCUUUGGAUUGUAAACUUCUUUCGUCCGGGACGAUUAUGACGGUACCGGAAGAAGAAGCCCUGGCUAACUUCGUGCCAGCCGCCGCCGUAAGAC
rnacentral:rRNA from 1 species